rnacentral:rRNA from 1 species
AGUCGACGCUUCUUUUUCCACCGGAGCUUGCUCCACCGGAAAAAGAGGAGUGGCGAACGGGUGAGUAACACGUGGGUAACCUGCCCAUCAGAAGGGGAUAACACUUGGAAACAGGUGCUAAUACCGUAUAACAAUCGAAACCGCAUGGUUUUGAUUUGAAAGGCGCUUUCGGGUGUCGUUGAUGGAUGGACCCGCGGUGCAUUAGCUAGUUGGUGAGGUAACGGCUCACCAAGGCCACGAUGCAUAGCCGACCUGAGAGGGUGAUCGGCCACAUUGGGACUGAGACACGGCCCAAACUCCUACGGGAGGCAGCAGUAGGGAAUCUUCGGCAAUGGACGAAAGUCUGACCGAGCAACGCCGCGUGAGUGAAGAAGGUUUUCGGAUCGUAAAACUCUGUUGUUAGAGAAGAACAAGGAUGAGAGUAACUGUUCAUCCCUUGACGGUAUCUAACCAGAAAGCCACGGCUAACUACGUGCCAGCAGCCGCGGUAAUACGUAGGUGGCAAGCGUUGUCCGGAUUUAUUGGGCGUAAAGCGAGC